AUGCUCAGACCCAAAUCACACGGUGGCAUCGGGUUUCGGGACAUGAAGCUUUUUAAACAAGCGUUGCUCGCCAAGCAGGCCUGGAGGCUUAUUGAAAACCCUCACAGCCUAUGUGCGCAAGUGCUCAAGGGGAAGUACUACCCUAAUGGGCUCCUGGUCGAUAUCGUCUUUACUGGCAAUGCAUCCUCGACAUGGCAAGCUAUUGAGUAUGGGCUAGAGCUGCUAAAAGGGGGAUCAUAUGGCGUAUUGGUAAUGGCUCGCAUGUCCGCAUUUGCGUGA
rnacentral:rRNA from 1 species